rnacentral:rRNA from 1 species
CUGGCGGCGUGCUUACACAUGCAAGUCGAACGGUGAAGCAGAGCUUGCUCUGUGGAUCAGUGGCGAACGGGUGAGUAACACGUGAGCAACCUGCCCCUGACUCUGGGAUAAGCGCUGGAAACGGCGUCUAAUACUGGAUAUGUGACGUGACCGCAUGGUCUGCGUCUGGAAAGAAUUUCGGUUGGGGAUGGGCUCGCGGCCUAUCAGCUUGUUGGUGAGGUAAUGGCUCACCAAGGCGUCGACGGGUAGCCGGCCUGAGAGGGUGACCGGCCACACUGGGACUGAAGACACGGCCAGACUCUUACGGGAGGCCAGCAGUGGGGGAUAUAUUCAACAAUGGG